AACUGAUACUACCUGCGGGAACCUGCGGAGGGAUCAUUACUGAAGUGAUUUGGGGAUGUUGUUGGCCCUCUCUCAAGGGGGGGCACUGUGCACUCCUCGAAACAAUUCACAAUUUCCAUCACACCCCUUGUGCACACCUUGUAGGCACCCAAACCCACCUCCGGGUGGUGGGGUCCUAUGUAUUCCUUCAUCUCACACUCUGUUGAAUGGUGCCAUGGGACGCAUCUAAAGGAUUAUUUG
rnacentral:misc_RNA from 1 species